rnacentral:rRNA from 1 species
UUUAAAGUCUGACCUGCCCAAUGAAAUUUUAAAUGGCCGCAGUAUUUUGACUGUGCAAAGGUAGCAUAAUCAUUUGUUUUUUAAUUGAAAGCUGGAAUGAAUGGUUUGAUAAAAAAAAUUCUGUCUCAAUUUUAAUUUUAUAAUUUUAUUUUUAAGUAAAAAAGCUUAAAUUUUUUAAAAAGACGAGAAGACCCUAUAGAGUUUUAUAAUUAUUAAAUUAAUUUUUAUUUGGAUUUAAUUUUAAUAUUAUUUUUAUUUUAUUUUGUUGGGGUGAUGUAAAAAUUUAAUUAACUUUUUAUUUAUUUUAUCAUUGAUGUAUGGUUUUUUGAUCCUAGAUUUUAGAUUAUAAGAUAAAAUUACCUUAGGGAUAACAGCGUAAUUUUUUUUGAGAG